AUUGAACGCUGGCGGCAGGCUUAACACAUGCAAGUCGAACGGUAACAUAAAGGAGCUUGCUUCUUUGAUGACGAGUGGCGGACGGGUGAGUAAUGCUUGGGAAUCUAGCUUAUGGAGGGGGAUAACUACGGGAAACUGUAGCUAAUACCGCGUAGAAUCGGGAGAUGAAAGUGUGGGACCUUCGGGCCACAUGCCAUAGGAUGAGCCCAAGUGGGAUUAGGUAGUUGGUGAGGUAAAGGCUCACCAAGCCGACGAUCUCUAGCUGGUCUGAGAGGAUGGCCAGCCACACUGGGACUGAGACACGGCCCAGACUCCUACGGGAGGCAGCAGUGGGGAAUAUUGCGCAAUGGGGGCAACCCUGACGCAGCCAUGCCGCGUGAAUGAAGAAGGCCUUCGGGUUGUAAAGCUCUUUCGGUAGCGAGGAAGGCAUUUAGUUUAAUAGACUAGGUGAUUGACGUUAACUACAGAAGAAGCACCGGCUAACUCCGUG
rnacentral:rRNA from 1 species